rnacentral:rRNA from 1 species
GGACUGCAGUCGAACGGUAACAGGAGCUUGCAUUCGCUGACGAGUGGCGGACGGGUGAGUAAUGCUUGGGAACUUGCCUUUGCGAGGGGGAUAACAGUUGGAAACGACUGCUAAUACCGCAUAAUGUCUACGGACCAAACGGGGCUUAGGCUCCGGCGCAAAGAGAGGCCCAAGUGAGAUUAGCUAGUUGGUAAGGUAAAGGCUUACCAAGGCAACGAUCUCUAGCUGUUCUGAGAGGAAGAUCAGCCACACUGGAACUGAGACACGGUCCAGACUCCUACGGGAGGCAGCAGUGGGGAAUAUUGCACAAUGGGGGAAACCCUGAUGCAGCCAUGCCGCGUGUGUGAAGAAGGCCUUCGGGUUGUAAAGCACUUUCAGUUGUGAGGAAAAGUUAGUAGUUAAUACCUGCUAGCCGUGACGUUAACAACAGAAGAAGCACCGGCUAACUCCGUGCCAGCAGCCGCGGUAAUACGGAGGGUGCGAGCGUUAAUCGGAAUUACUGGGCGUAAAGCGCACGCAGGCGGUUUGUUAAGCUAGAUGUGAAAGCCCCGGGCUCAACCUGGGAUGGUCAUUUAGAACUGGCAGACUAGAGUCUUGGAGAGGGGAGUGGAAUUCCAGGUGUAGCGGUGAAAUGCGUAGAUAUCUGGAGGAACAUCAGUGGCGAAGGCGACUCCCUGGCCAAAGACUGACGCUCAUGUGCGAAAGUGUGGGUAGCGAACAGGAUUAGAUACCCUGGUAGUCCACACCGUAAACGCUGUCUACUAGCUGUUUGUGACUUUAAGUCGUGAGUAGCGAAGCUAACGCGCUAAGUAGACCGCCUGGGGAGUACGGCCGCAAGGUUAAAACUCAAAUGAAUUGACGGGGGCCCGCACAAGCGGUGGAGCAUGUGGUUUAAUUCGAUGCAACGCGAAGAACCUUACCUACACUUGACAUGCUGAGAACUUUCUAGAGAUGGAUUGGUGCCUUCGGGAACUCUGACACAGGUGCUGCAUGGCUGUCGUCAGCUCGUGUCGUGAGAUGUUGGGUUAAGUCCCGCAACGAGCGCAACCCUUGUCCUUAGUUGCCAGCAUUAAGUUGGGCACUCUAAGGAGACUGCCGGUGACAAACCGGAGGAAGGUGGGGACGACGUCAAGUCAUCAUGGCCCUUACGUGUAGGGCUACACACGUGCUACAAUGGCAUUUACAGAGGGAAGCGAGACAGUGAUGUGGAGCGGACCCCUUAAAGAAUGUCGUAGUCCGGAUUGGAGUCUGCAACUCGACUCCAGAAGUUCGCU